ACGUAUAAAAGAUACUAAAAAAAUUAUUGUGUUCAUUUUCACAUUCCACCCAAAUCUCCACCCUGCCCUUAGCCAAAGCAAAAGAACCCAUUUUAUUCCACGGUUUCAACGAUUCCAUUUUGCAUAUUUAAGCACUCACAUCUUUUCCUAGGUUAACUAGUCCAAUUUCUCUAACUGGAAGAAGGAUGCUACAAGGGCUUAGGCCCCUGGAGUUCAGAGGCGAAUGGAGAAAAAGGGCUUUGUAAAGAAGCUGUGUGUGGACCCCAAGUCACUAGCUAGCGGCAACACAAUGGAAUCAGCAUCUUGCAUAGAAUACAAAUGAGUAAAUCGCUUUUUGGGGUGAGACGGAAAUUGGCAUGGAUCUACGGCCAGUAGCUCUGUGAGGGACCUUGGGGAUCACCUCGUGUAUCUCCGCAUUUUACAAAGGAAAGCUCAAGACCUUGCAGGGCCUGCCUCAGUGCUGGUCUUGGAUUUAGGAUUGCUGUAAGGUGUUGCCUCCAUCGCAGCUCUCAGCUGCAGGUCUAGCCUCUGUGGGGUGGAGCAAGGUGGCCUGGGAAGGUGCAGGUGUGGCAGGGUUGAGUCUGAGCUUCAAAGACACCAGACCACAGAGGCCUCUGCUUCCCAGCCAAAAUGCAGGCCUCAGGCACUUUCAGAUAGCCUUGAACUGCUGCCAGAAGAAGGGGGAAAGGAAAAGGAGGAAAGAAAAAAUGAAAUGCAUGUUCACAAAGCAGCCUCUCCCUGGUGCAUCCUCACCAUCUAAUUUUCAGCUGGGCUUCCAGCUCACGGGAGACAUGAGGCCUUGUGUUGGCCAAGUUCUCUCACCCUUGGCUUCCCAGACACUUGGAGGUCCAGCAAUUACUCAGUAAUUACCCCAUUUAUUGCCUCAUUACAGGUGACCACCUUUUGGCAGGCAUUUCCCUGGGAAGGUCUCUUCUCCAGCACAGGCUUCUUAACACCGGAAGGGAGCAGGCAGGCCUGCUGGGCCCUGCUGCUGUGGCGGUGGCACCGAAUUGCACUUUCCUCCUGUACCCUCACCCCACCCCAGCUUGCCCUUGCCUGCUCUUGGCCUUGCACCAAGCCCUGCAUCUCUGCUUUCACUAAUGCCUAGCUGGGCUGGGUGGGUCCAGAGCUGCACCCUGCCAUUUAACAGAACCCCAUCUCAUUGCUCCUGUCUCCAUCACAAUGGCCGAGGCACCACCAGGAGUCUCCUUAGUGUUUGAUUCCCUUCCUGGAGCUUCCCCGAUCCCCACAUCUCUAACACAUGACUUCACGUGCCUGGUUCAAAGGGCCCCGUCUAGUGUCCUUUGGAUUCCAGACACCUUGACGCCUGCUAGUUCUAACAGUGUCACAUCUUCACCCUGUGUACCAGGAGAUCAAUUUUUAACACAUCUCACACUCUGGUGAGCAGUUUAGGAAUUUGCAGGCUAGGGAGGUGGGCAGUUGUGAUAAGUGGGGGCAGAAUAUGCCAAUGCCUGUGCCUUCCAAGCAGGUAAAAUUCGGUUGGUCAGAGAAGAAUGGAGCUGGGAAAAAGAACUUGGGAUUUAACAGAAUACAAAUGAGUAAAUCGCUUUUGGGGGUGAGAGGGAAAUUGGCAUGGAUUUAUGUCCAGUAGCUCUGGGAGGGAUCUUGGGGAUCACCUUCUGUAUCUCCUCAUUUUACAAAGGAAAGCUCAAGGCCUAGAGCAAUGUGCGCCCCCUCCCUCCUUGUCCAGAACCAUGCCCUUUGAGGCGGGCACCUUUUACGCGUAUUUCAGUCUGAUGCCUUUGUUUGCUUGUCCCUGUCUUCCAUGACCAAACAAACCUCUCCCAUCCUCCUCCUGAGGGCGUCUUGUCUGUCUCAUUGUGGCCUGUGAAGAAGCUGAGCUCUCCUCUGGGUGGUAGCCUCAGACCUCACUUUUGGCUCGAAUACAGUUCUUUGAGGAUGCCCCUAUAAUUCCCCUACAUUUAGCUUUUUUCUCACUGCUGAGCAUGGAGUACCGAAGACCUCCCUGGCCUGGAGGGAUAUCCCAAAGGGCAGCCUGCCACUGACCUCCCUGAGCAGGCUGUGCUUUUCCUUGCAUCUAGAAAGGCCAGGCUUGCCUACUAAAGAUACUCCUUACACUUAUCCCUGAGUAAAUGUGUGCCAGGCCUGCUCCUAACAGCAGUGUCAAGGUCUGCAGGGGGCCCAGGGCAGAGGUGCAGGUUCCUGUUUACAUAUGCUCUACAUUCAAGAGUAGGGUGGGCCAGGGUGCCUGCUCUCAUUGUCUGCUGCUUCGUUUCUAUAGAAGCCCUUGUUGCUAAGUUACCACAGUCCCUUCCACGCAGCAGUUAGAGCUGAGGAAGGGGAGAGGCACAGAUGGCAUCAUGGUCCUAUACAAGCAGUACACAAGGCCUUAGGCCAAAAGCUUUUGUUUAGGAGGAGAAUUUGAUCUCACUGAUUCAUCUAUUCAUUUGUCCAUCCAGCAAAUAUUUAUUAAAACUUUCUACCUGCCAGGCUCCUACCUGUUGGGCUUUAUGCCAGGAAAUGAGGAAUCAGGAGUGAGUCCAUCUCUCCAGUCUUACUGGCAGCCUACUUUAGUCCAUAUUAACAAAGCUCCAGCUAUCCAGCACCCUAAGGGCCCCAGGAAAUCAGCAAGCAACCCACGUAGUUGGGAACAGCCCGGCAACCCCUCCUGACCUCAGAUUACUGCUAAUGAUAAGAGCUGGAAGCCCAGCUCCAUGCACGUGAGGGACGGGGCUUGACCCCCUGAGAAGAGAGCUGCAGAAGGAGGUUUGAAAACAGUUCUCUCCGGCUAUAGGAGGUAAUUCCAUUUUUGCAGAAGUCACCAGGAGCCCUGAUCCUGGCAGAAUGGGUAUACAAAGGAUUCCUGUUUCCUACCAUUGAGGCAAGGAGCAGAUGCAAUGUGCAAAGAAAGGUCUUUACACAAAGCUAUGAAGAGAUUGUCUGGCCUCAUGGGAGUGGCCCUCUCCAAGUACUGCACGGUCCUGCUCAUAGAAAGGGCACAAGAUUGGAAGCUGAGCAUAUCCUGGUCUUGAAGAUGGGUUCCAGAAUAAAACCUGCACUCACCUGUCAGCUCACCAUUUUCCUCUGUCUUAAGAAAAUCGAGCAUCAAAAGGUAUACACGUGUGUGGGAAUAAGAGCGUGCAAGCUGAAUUCUUAAACUAAUUAGUAAUUUCUAGUUCAUGUUAGUUGGUUCUGAUUAUUUGAGGAUUUUGUAGCUUGGGAAUUGCUAUGAUGUGAAUGUCCCCCUGAAUUUCAUGUACUGGAAACUUAAUCCCCAAAUUCAUCUGUUGAUUAGAAGUGGAGUCUCUGGGAGGUAAAAGUAGAAUUAGAUGAGCCCAGUAGGGUGACUCCCCCAUGGUGGGGCUGGUGGCUUUCUAAGAAGAGAAAGAGAGGCCUGGGUGGACACGCACACUCUUGCUCUCUCGCCACGCGGUGCCCUCCACCACGUUAUGCCCUAGCAUCAAGGCCUCAGCAGAUGCUGGUCCCAUGCUCUUAUGCUUCCUAGCCUUCAGAAUCGUGAACCAAAUGAAUGUCGUUUCUUUAAAAGAAAACACAGUCUCAGGUAUUCAGUUAUAGCAUCAGAAAACAGACUAAGCCAGGGGCCUUUGAGUUGUCUGUCUGUGGCAGCACUCUCUGCCUCCAUGCUGGGAUCCUGCAGCCAGGCCAGCCUCUGAGAAGUGUGGUGCCAACUUGCAGCCUAGUUUUCUGAGAACAGAGGAACAGGAAAGACUGGGGCUUGGAGAAGGCCCCUUGGGGGCACACAUUCCACAGCCUGAGAGUCACUUGGCGUGGCUGAUGUUUGUUGCUGGUUCUGCUUCACAUGCCUUGUUAUCCCAUUUGUUUCUCUCAGGGCAAUAUCCAUUUUAUACAUGAAGAAUGUGAAGUUCAGAGAUGUUAAGUGACUUGUCUAAGGUGACCUAGCUGGAGUUAGGCUGAGUUGAGGGUGUGUAAAAAAGACUGGAAGACAGGAUAAUCAAGGCUGUAUCUCUCUCUUUCUCUUUUUUUUUUUUGAGACAGAGUGUCACUCGGUCACCCAGGCUGGAAUGCAAUGGCAUGAUCUCGGCUUAUUGCAACCUCCGCCUCCCAGGUUCAGGCGAUUCUCCCAGCUCAGCCUCCUGAGUAGCUGGGAUUACAAGUGUGUGCCACCAUGCCAGACUAGUUUUCUGUAUUUUUAGUAGAAACGGGGUUUCACCAUAUUGGCCAGGUUGGUCUGGAACUGCUGACCUCAGGUGCUCUACCUGCCUCAGCCUCCCAAAGUGCUGGGAUUACAGGCAUGAGCUACUGUGCCCAGCCAAGAACAUAUCUUUUAUGUUGCAAAUGUAUCAUGUUUAAAUAUAUUUGGAUUACUCACAGCUGAGUGAGAAUACCUUUUUAAGUAUAAUGACUUUUGUCCUAUCUAAGUGAUACCGACCAGAGAAAUAGGGUAGGGAGGAUGCAGGGCAGUUGGCAGAGAGGCGGGUCUGACUGGCCUGAGGAAAGAAGAGAAGAAGGGAGGAACCUUAGCACCACCAUGUGCCAGGCUAUUCCGUUUGAUUCCUGCAACCUGUUAACUCAGAUAUUAUUAUCUCUAUUUUGUAGACAGCAAAACCGAGGCUCAGAGAGAUUAACCAACUUUCCUUAAUCAGAACUGGGAAAUAGCAAGGCCAGGCUAAGCUUUCUGUUUCUCAAGCCUAUACUUUGCAUUCCACUUUGCCGCUUUCUGGAAAGCCAUUGGAUACCUGGGGGUUACAUAAAAGGGGCCGUUUAGAAUCCCAAAGUGAUAUGGGGGAGCCAGAUUCAAGUUUUGGGUUUAGUUGUCCAAGGCCUUGGUGGCCAUAGAAAAACCAAUAGUUCCCACAGCUCUUAUCAGAACAUGCUGGGAGUAUAGAUGAGGAAGUUUACCAUUGACACAUUUGGUAUAAUAAAAAACAGCAAAAACAGAAGCAGCAAAGUACAACCACUGCAUGGAAAUGUCAACCUUAGAAAUAGUGACCUUUGGAAGCUCAGAAACCACGUCUGAAUUCUGUAGCAUCUCCUGAGCCACGAGGCAGGGAGAGCACUUCCCAGGUGCACAUUAUACCACUGAACCAGCAGUGACACAAAGGGACCUGUCAGUGGGCUCCAAAUCUCUUCCCAUUACCAGCGUGCUCUGUGCUAACAGCUGGCAGGCUGCGGUUCUGGCUCAGGGCAGUUCGGCCUCCUAACACUAUAUCCGAGCACGGAUACUGACUGCCUCAAAAUGACUAUUUUAAGUCCUUACAUAAAUUAUUUCACUUAUGCAACAGCCUUAGAUGUAGUACAAAGAGGCCCAUUUUAUAGAUAGGAAAACGGAGACAUGGGAAGGUAACUUCCUCAAAGGCACGCAGCUAAUGAGUGGUAGGUAUAGCAUUUGAACCUCUGUCUUUGAGAUUCCUCAGUCAUUUUUCUUCCAGAAAAGCACCUGUGGUUCCCCAGUUUCUGAUUUAUACAACUACAUUGAUCGGCUUUAUCAGAAUCUCCUGGGAGGUUUAAAUUGCCUAUUGCUGGACCCACCUUAGAUAUUCUGUUUAAACAGAUUUUGAGUGGGGCCCCUGUGUGCUUUUAAUACACUCCUUGGCUUCACCUCACUUGGAAGAGCAGGUAACCCCAUAAUAUCAGUGUUUCUUCAGCUGCCUUCAGCUGACUGUGAUGUCUGUCAGAUCUGCUGCACCCCUGGACCCCUGGCUAAAUCCCAGAGUCAAGUUUAAUUUCUAACUUUGGGAUCUGUUCCUUGCCUCUGUGCCUUGUUCUACCAAUUUCAGUAAUUAAUCAUUACCGAACAGUAAUUAUUAUUCUCAGCAUCUUAGAUUUCUCAUGCCAUCUUGGAAUGGCAUCGGUUAUGGUUAGUUUUAUGUGUCAACUUGGCCAGGCUAUAGUACUCAGUUACUUAAACACUAAUCUAGCUGUUACUGUUAAGGUAUCCUGUAAUUGUGGUUAACGUCUACUAUUAGGCUUUAAGUAAAGGAAACUGCUUGAUAAUAUAGAUGAGCCUCAUCUAAUCAGUUGAAGGUAUUAAGAGUGAAAACUAAGGUUUCCUUUUCAAGAAGACAUUUUGUUUCAAGACCACAGCACUAACUCUUGCCUGAGUUUCCAGUCUUCUGGCCUGCUCUGCAAAUUUGGGACUUGCCAGCCCCCACAAUUGCGUGAACCGGUUCCUUAAAAUAAAUCUCUUAGUAUAUGUGUGUAUGUUUGCAUGCACGUAUGUAUCCUGUGGGUUUGUUUCUAGAGAGCCCUGACUGAUCCAGCGUCCUUUCUUAUCUCUUGACUUGUUCUUCCUCCAUCUCUUCCUUCGGUCUUGUCUCUCUUCCCUUCCCCCCCAUUCCUUUCUAUCAUCCAACAAUGCUUGUUGCAUGUCAGACACUGUGCUGAGCCAAGACUAUACAAUCAGUGAGCUGCCCUCAAGGGGCUUGCAGUCCACCAGUUCUAAAAGAAGGGGAUUUGUAGGCUACUUUUGCCUUUAUGCUAUUCUUUCAAAUCUUCAAAUCUUUACAUAACCCUUUGAGUUAGAAAAUACAACCACAAUUCUCCUACUAGAAACGAGAAGGGGCAGAAACUUUUUAUGAGACAUCCCGAUGACAGAUUGAGCCAGAGGGGCCCCAGUUCUUCUGCCUGAGCCCAGGACCCUUCCCUGCGCUAUGCUCUUCCCCCCAGGCUCUUGGUUGGUGUUUAUCCCUCCGUCUUCCGCAUUCUCCUUACUGCUUGUUUACGUUUCUCUUUUGAUGGUUUAUAUCAUAUCUUGCAUUUCUGUUAUUUGUUUACAUAAAUGUUUCCUCUCCGUAUUGUAAGCUUCUCAGGGGCAAGAUACAAUGCUUUAUUCAACAAACAUUUAUUCAGCAUUUACAAUGAUAUGGGCACAUUUUUCCUUCGUAGUGAGUCACAGGGCUGAGUCGGGACUCAGACUUCCUGGUAUGCAUCUUGGUUUCUUCAGUGUGUGCCCUCGGGCACAUGACUUAACCUCUCUGUGCCUUACUUGUCGCUUUUGUAAAAUGGGGAUCUGAAU